UGGGGAAUAUUGCACAAUGGGGGAAACCCUGAUGCAGCGACGCCGCGUGGACGAUGAAGUAUUUCGGUACGUAAAGUCCUGUCAGCAGGGAAGAAAACGACAGUACCUGACCAAGAAGCCCCGGCUAACUACGUGCC
rnacentral:rRNA from 1 species